UACGGAGGGUGCGAGCGUUUGUCCGGAAUCAUUGGGCGUAAAGGGUGCGUAGGUGGCCAGGUAAGUUUGGUGUGAAAGCUCGGAGCUUAACUCCGAAAAGUCAUUGAAUACUAUCUGGCUGGAGGGUCGGAGGGGAGACUGGAAUUCUCGUGUAGCAGUGAAAUGCGUAGAUAUCAAGAGGAACACCAGUGGCGAAGGCGAGUCCCUGGACAUUUCCUGACACUGAGGCACGAAAGCUAGGGGAGCAAACAGG
rnacentral:rRNA from 1 species